rnacentral:rRNA from 1 species
UCAAGAACCUUCCACAAUGGACGAAAGUCUGAUGGAGCGACGCCGCGUGAUGGAUGAAGCCCUUCGGGGUGUAAACAUCUUUUGUGAGGGAAGAAAUUUAUUGACGGUACCUCAAGAAUAAGGGGUUGCUAAACUCGUGCCAGCAGCAGCGGUAAUACGAGUGCCCCGAGCGUUAUCCGGAAUUACUGGGUGUAAAGGGUGCGUAGGCGGCGUGAUUAGUCUUUUGUGAAAGCCCCAAGCUCAACUUGGGAAACGCAAAGGAAACGGUCAUGCUAGAGAAUGUGAGGGGUCUAGGGAACUCAUGGUGUAGGGGUGAAAUCCGUUGAUAUCAUGGGGAACACCAAAAGCGAAGGCACUAGACUGGCACAUUUCUGACGCUCAAGCACGAAAGCGUGGGUCGCGAAUGGGAUUAGAUACCCCCGUAGUCC